GCGGCCUAUCAGCUUGUUGGUGAGGUAAAGGCUCACCAAGGCGACGACGGGUAGCCGGCCUGAGAGGGCGACCGGCCACACUGGGACUGAGACACGGCCCAGACUCCUACGGGAGGCAGCAGUAGGGAAUAUUGGGCAAUGGGCGAAAGCCUGACCCAGCGACGCCGCGUGAGGGAUGAAGGUCUUCGGAUUGUAAACCUCUUUCAGUAGGGAAGAAGCGAAAGUGACGGUACCUAAAGAAGAGGCACCGGCUAACUAUGUGCCAGCAGCCGCGGUAAUACAUAGGGUGCAAGCGUUGUCCGGAAUUAUUGGGCGUAAAGAGCUCGUAGGUCGUUUGUCGCGUCGAUUGUGAAAAUCUGAGGCUCAACCUCAGACCUGCAGUCGAUACGGGCAAACUAGAGUGUGGUAGGGGAGACUGGAAUUCCU
rnacentral:rRNA from 1 species